ensembl:snRNA U6 U6 spliceosomal RNA
CUGCUUACUUGGGCAGCACAUAUACUAAAACUGGAACAGUACAGAGAAGAUUAACAUGGCCCCUGCACAAGGAUGACACACAAUUCAUGAAAUGCUUCAAUUUUUA